CCUACGGGGGGCUGCAGUGAGGAAUAUUGGUCAAUGGGCGCGAGCCUGAACCAGCCAAGUAGCGUGAAGGAUGACUGCCCUACGUGUUGUAAACUUCGUUUAUAAAGGAAUAAAGUGAGGCACGUGUGCCUUUUUGUAUGUACUUUAUGAAUAAGGAUCGGCUAACUCAGUGCCAGCAGCCGCGGUAAUACGGAGGGUCCGAGCGUUAUCCGGAUUUAUUGUGGUUAAAGGGAGCGUAGAUGGGUUGUUAAGUCAGUUGUGAAAGUGUGCGGCUCAACCGUAAAAUUGCAAUUGAUACUGGCAGCCUUGAGUACAGUUGAGGUAGGCGGAAUUCGUGGUGUAGCGGUGAAAUGCUGAGAUAUCACGAAGAACUCCGAUUGCGAAGGCAGCCUACUAAACUGCCACUGACAUUGAUGCUCGAAAGUGUGGGUAUCAAACAGGAUUAGAUACCCGGGUAGUC
rnacentral:rRNA from 1 species